AAUCUAUGACCNGCAGUCGAGGCGGUAGUCACAGAGAGCUUGCUCUCGGGUGACGAGCGGCGUGACGGGUGAGUAAUGUCUGGGAAACUGCCUGAUGGAGGGGGAUAACUACUGGAAACGGUAGCUAAUACCGCAUAACGUCGCAAGACCAAAGUGGGGGACCUUCGGGCCUCAUGCCAUCAGAUGUGCCCAGAUGGGAUUAGCUAGUAGGUGGGGUAACGGCUCACCUAGGCGACGAUCCCUAGCUGGUCUGAGAGGAUGACCAGCCACACUGGAACUGANACACGGUCCANACUCCUACGGGAGGCAGCAGUGGGGAAUAUUGCACAAUGGGCGCAAGCCUGAUGCAGCCAUGCCGCGUGUGUGAAGAAGGCCUUCGGGUUGUAAAGCACUUUCAGCGGGGAGGAAGGCGAUAAGGUUAAUAACCUUGUCGAUUGACGUUACCCGCAGAAGAAGCACCGGCUAACUCCGUGCCAGCAGCCGCGGUAAUACGGAGGGUGCAAGCGUUAAUCGGAAUUACUGGGCGUAAAGCGCACGCAGGCGGUCUGUCAAGUCGGAUGUGAAAUCCCCGGGCUCAACCUGGGAACUGCAUUCGAAACUGGCAGGCUAGAGUCUUGUAGAGGGGGGUAGAAUUCCAGGUGUAGCGGGUGAAAUGCGUAGAGAUCUGGAGGAAUACCGGUGGCGAAGGCGGCCCCCUGGACAAAGACUGACGCUCAGGUGCAACAACAC
rnacentral:rRNA from 1 species